UACGGAGGGUGCAAGCGUUACUCGGAAUUACUGGGCGUAAAGCGUGCGUAGGUGGUUUGUUAAGUCUGAUGUGAAAGCCCUGGGCUCAACCUGGGAAUUGCAUUGGAUACUGGCAGGCUAGAGUGCGGUAGAGGGUAGUGGAAUUCCCGGUGUAGCAGUGAAAUGCGUAGAGAUCGGGAGGAACAUCUGUGGCGAAGGCGACUACCUGGACCAGCACUGACACUGAGGCACGAAAGCGUGGGGAGCAAACAGG
rnacentral:rRNA from 1 species